rnacentral:misc_RNA from 1 species
GAUGAAGAACGUAGCGAAAUGCGAUAAGUAAUGUGAAUUGCAGAAUUCAGUGAAUCAUCGAAUCUUUGAACGCACAUUGCGCCCCUUGGUAUUCCGAGGGGCAUGCCUGUUCGAGCGUCAUUAUAACCCCUCAAGCUCAGCUUGGUGUUGGGGCCUGCUGCACUGGCAGCCCUUAAAAUCAGUGGCGGCGCCAUCUGGCUCUAAGCGUAGUAAUUCUUCUCGCUAUGGAGUCCUGGUGGAUGCUUGCCAUCAACCCCCUAUUUUUCUAUGGUUGACCUCGGAUCAGGUAGGGAUACCCGCUGAACUUAAGCAUAUCAAUAACGGAGGA